ACAUGUUUAGUAGAUGUGGGAAGAAGUUCCACCUGUACAGAUUUAGCUUCUGGAAAGAUUUCAUAUCUUAUGAGAAUUCUUUCUGUCUGGCAAAUUACAUCAGGAUAGAAUUAGAGAGUUCUGUGAUCUGCCCUUAGAACUGAACAGAGUUUGUCCUUAGACAUGGAGGACCACAAGAAACAGAUCUGCAGAGUUCUUCUUUUUGUGAUGGGAAUAACAUUUGUUUUUGGGCAGCUGUGUGGGAACUGUUUCAGUCAGUGUAAUGAAGAAACUGGAUUAUGUUCCGGAAACUGUACUCUUGGCUGGGAUGGUCCUACUUGCUCUAGACGAAAUGUGGCAUUUAAUCAAAGCACGAAGCAGUCUUCGGAUUAUAGCGAGCCAGGCUUUACCUUCGUCUCCAGACUCGCAGUUGAUGGUAGGACUGGCCAUGAGUUUUACAACAUACCAUAUACAUGUUCUCACACCAGAGAAAAUCCACAACCCGCGUUCUGGACAGUGACACUGGAUUCACAGUACAACAU